GUAGGAAACGGGAUGAAAGGGCCGGAAACUGCGGAAAAUUGCCUACUCCCGCCCUCCGAAGGCAGAGGUCACAGGUUCGAAUCCUGUCGGGUGCGCCA
rnacentral:tRNA from 1 species